rnacentral:tRNA from 1 species
GCAGAGUGGCGCAGCGGAAGCGUGCAGGGCCCAUAACCCAGCGGUUGAUGGAUCGAAACCAUGCUCUGCUA